rnacentral:rRNA from 1 species
UGGGGAAUUUUGGACAAUGGGCGAAAGCCUGAUCCAGCAAUGCCGCGUGUGUGAAGAAGGCCUUCGGGUUGUAAAGCACUUUUGUCCGGAAAGAAAUCCUUGGCUCUAAUACAGUCGGGGGAUGACGGUACCGGAAGAAUAAGCACCGGCUAACUACGUGCCAGCAGCCGCGGUAAUACGUAGGGUGCAAGCGUUAAUCGGAAUUACUGGGCGUAAAGCGUGCGCAGGCGGUUUGCUAAGACCGAUGUGAAAUCCCCGGGCUCAACCUGGGAACUGCAUUGGUGACUGGCAGGCUAGAGUAUGGCAGAGGGGGGUAGAAUUCCACGUGUAGCAGUGAAAGUGCGUAGAGAUGUGGAGGAAUACCGAUGGCGAAGGCAGCCCCCUGGGCCAAAUACUGACGCUCAUGCACGAAAGCGUGGGGAGCAAACAGGAUUCNGAUACCCUGGUAGUCCACGCCCUAAACGAUGUCAACUAGUUGUGGGAUUCAUUUCCUAGUAACGUAGCUAACGCGUGAAGUUGACCGCCUGGGGAGUA